UCUGGACCGGAAAUCCCUCUUUUUGGACUUGAAGACGAGAGGUGCAGGACGGUGGUUCCUCCUUGCUCCUCGCCCAUAGCAACAAAAUGAUGAGUUUUUGGCCAUUUCUUCGACCGAGUGGAGACGUGUGCAUGGUUGUGCAAAGAUAAUCAGAUGGACAGCUGUGAAAUAUGAUCUACAGUCUCUGAUACGUGGUGACCCUGACGGAAUGCAAAUCAGGUUUGCUCCAUCUUGUCUCCGGUAAAGAAGCGGUAUAAACAGAAAGAAAGGAGAAAUUUUGUUCAUCUCGGGUAUGUAUUUCAAACUGUCACAUGCUGUCUUAAAAUAUCCACCGGUUACCCGAGCCGUUUAUCCUUAUGAAAAAUAAAUCAUUUGAAAAAAAAAA